CCAAAAUCAGUGACUAAUAGCAUACAAAACUGGUCGGAAUAGGCCAAAACUGCGAGUUUUCGCGAGUUCCCCGUAACCGGACCACGUAGUUCCUUAAACGUCCGGAACACAACGGGACCCAAAAUCAGUUAGUAAUAGCAUACAAAAUUGGCAGGAGUAGGCGAAAACUGCGAGUUUUGACGAGUUCCCGUAAUCGGACCAAGGGGUUCGAUCCCGAAACGUUCGGAUCACAGCGGGACCCAAAAUAAGUGACUAAUAGCAUACAAAACGGGCCGGAGUAGGCAAAAACUGGGAGUUUUGACGAGUUCCCGUAACCGUUCCCCGGGGUUCCGAAAACGUUCGGAUCACAGCGGGAUCCAAAAUCAUUGAGCAAUGGCAUACAGAACGAGCCAGAAUAGGCCGAAACUGCUAGUUUUGACGAGUUCCCCGUAACCGGACCCCGAGGUUCCGGAAACAUUCGGAUCACAGCGGGACCCAAAAUCAGUGACUAAUAGCAUACAAAACUGGCU
rnacentral:lncRNA from 1 species